rnacentral:rRNA from 1 species
CCCCUAGAUGUUCUGGGCCGCACGCGCGCUACACUGAACAGUUCAACAAGUCUUAACCUUGGCCGAUAGGUCUGGGUAAUCUUUGAACGCUGUUCGUGAUUGGGAUAGACCUUUGCAAUUAUGGGUCUUCAACGAGGAAUUCCUAGUAAACGCAAGUCAUCAGCUUGCAUUGAUUACGUCCCUGCCCUUUGUACACACCGCCCGUCGCACCUACCGAUUGAAUGGUCCGGUGAAAUCUCGGGACGGCGGCUUGGUCGCUUGCGUCUGACUGCUGAAACUUGAUUAAACCAUNUNAUUUAGNGGAAGGUGAANUCGUANCA